GCCGAGGUGCUGGAAUGGUAGACAGGCUAGUCUCAAAAACUAGUGGGGUUCACUCCUCGUGAGGGUUCGACUCCCUCCCUCGGCA
rnacentral:tRNA from 1 species